AAAACAUCAAAAUUAAAGCCCACUUCCUUAGAAAGUUCCACACCUGUCCCUCCAUAAUUUCCUGACAGUUUAUCUUUCCCAAAAGCUCCCUUUCCUAUUCAAAACAACACUCCCUUAAUAUCCUAAGAAUCAUCUUUUCAAAACAUGUUACUCCAACAUUUUGAUUUCCAUAGAGCAGACCUUCAUUUUCCUCACAAAACCUCAGUCUAGUUCUUUGACCCAUUCGUCCUCUAGCAUUUUGACUGCAUGCCUUGGUACCACUCCUUCCAGGUAAAAUCCUCUCAUUUGCUUUAGACUUUCAAUGGCUAUGAUGUCUGCCAAAGUGUUUGCUAUUUGAUGGACAUGUUGAAAUUUUACGUCUUCAUAACAUGUGCAUGUGCCUCUACUGCGAAAGUCAAAUUAACAUUCUCGUGUAUGAUCGCUCUAAAGGCAAUCACUCUUCCUUUUCUGUUUCUGGCAACUAUCCCCGAGCUUGAUCUAAAAAGAUCUUGAUUAAACCCUGCGUCAAAAUUAAUUUUUAUGUCUUCUCCAGCAAUUGGGACCCAUGAGUCUCUAAUUUGUGCCUUUGUAAGUCCAGUUUCCUCUAGUCUGUCCAACUCUAUUUUGUAAUUUUGAAUAAAAGAGACAAUAUCUUUACUGGAUUUCUUUAUCUUUUCAUGUACAUAUUUGUUUCUCUCUGUCCAAAGGACCCAAAGGGAUACACAGAUCAUUCGCUUCUGGGAAUUUAAGUAAUUAUCAAAAGCCCAGGUAAGCCAUUCAAACUAUUCAGGCACCAUACUCUGAUUUAGCCAUUCUAAGUUCACUAAUAGCCAUACUUCUACUGAAACAGGAUAGUAAAGAAAAACAUGCAUUAUGUUUUCUGCUGCUUCCCUACAUCUUAGGCAGUUUGUAUUUGUUAUUAAUCUCUUGAAAUGUAGAUUUACUUUAGUGGGCAUGUAGUUUUUUGAGAUGUGCCAUACUAUAAGCAUAAUUUUAGAAGGGAGUAUUAGACUCCACAAUGCUCGAUAGAAAUUCCUAGAUGAUAGUUGUAAAGUGUUUAAUGUAGGAGUAGGAAUACCAAUCUAUAAUAGUUUAUAAGCACUCUGCACUGAGAAUACUCCCGAUGGUUCACCCCUCCAGGUGACUUCAUCUUCUUGUGAAAUUGCUGCUAAUGGGAGACGAAGGAUCCUACCCGUAUCAACCGUGUUAAAGGUUUUGGAGAUUAUUUCUUUCCUCCAUUCUCUCUUAUUAUUAUCAAUAAGCUGUGCAACAUACUCCAAAUUACAAUUAAUAACUAGAUGACUUAACCUAUAAUUUUCAAAACCUAGUAACCAUGCAUGAUUAAAAAUGGAGACAUUAUCGCCUUUUCCCACUCUCCAACAUGUUCCUUCCUGAAGCACUUUCUUCGAUACCCAUAUACUUUUCCAUGUGUAAGACGCAUUUGGUUUUAAUGUUGCCUACAAAAAAUCCGAAUUUGGGUAAUAUUUGGCUUUAAGAACUUUUACAAAUAAUGAUUCUGGGUUCAUAACAAGUCUCCAUCCUUGUUUUGCUAAUAAGGAUACAUUGAAAUUUGCCAAAUUUUGAAAACCCAGACCUUCGUUUUCCUUCAAUUCACAUAACUUUCCCCACUUACACUAAUGUAAACCCCUUUGUUCUUGAGAUUUCUACCACCAAAACCCGGCCAUUAUUCCUUCCAUUUCUUUACAGAGUGUUUUUGGGAGUAAAAAGCAUGUCAUAGAAUAGGUUGGAAUAGAUUGUAAAACUGCUUUAAUAAAAACUUCUUUUCCUCCUUGCGAUAAGAAUCGUGUGCUCUAAUUAUCAAUUUUUCUUUUCUUUCGAUCCUUUAAGGUUUGAAAAGAGGCUUUUUUUCCUUCUAUCAAUUAUAUUAUCAAUUAUAUUAGGGAUAGCCAAGUACUUCUCUGCAUUAUUUGAAUAUCUCACUCCCAUAUCGUUAGAUAAUUGUAGUCUCACAUUUUCGAGAGUAUUUGCACUAAAGAAAACUGUAGAUUUUUCAAAAUUUAUACAUUGUCCUGAGCAGUCUUCAUACUCUUUCAAUAUGUUUUUCAAGGCGAUUACUCCUCUAGUUGUAGCUUCUCCAAAGAGUAUGCAAUCAUCGGCAAAAAGUAGGUGUAAAAUUGAUGGCCCACUUUAACUUGUCCUAACCUCCUUUAGUUUUCUCUCUUUUAGCUAGACGCAUAAAAGUAGAUAAACCCUCACUGCAAAUCAGAAAAGAGAAAAGGGCUUAAUGGGUCCCCUUGCCUUAGCCCCCUUGUAGGUCGAAACUUCUCUCGUCUUAGCUCGUUUAUGCUUACUAAAUAUGAAACAGUUGAAAUGCACUCCAUCACCAUAUCUACCCAGGCCUUCGCGAAACCCGUUUCAGUCAUCAUUUCUCACAAAAAACCCCAUUCCACAUAAUUGUAAGCUUUACUCAUGUCCAAUUUUAAGGCCAUUAACCCUUUACUUCCUCCCCUUUUUUGACCAAAAGUAUGCAAAACUUCAUAUGCUAAUACGAUAUUGUCUGAUAUCAGUCUGCCCAGGACGAAAGCACUUUGUGAGUUAUCCAUACAUAAAUCAAGGACCAUUUGUAAGCAGUUUGCCACCAUUUUACUUACAACCUUAUAGAUGACCUUACACAAGUUAAUAGGUCGAAAACUAGUCAUAUUGAUAGGGUUUUGGGUCUUCGAGAUUAUAACUAUAUUAGUAACAUUUAGUUUAUCCAUGCUCUUUCUUCUGUUAAUGACAUGUAAGCAAAAUAAACUAACCUCUUUUCUGACAAUAUGCCAACAACGUUGAAAAAAAGGGCCGAAAAAUCGUCAAUACCUUGCUUAAGCCCUUUUUUCAGACAAUAUGCCAGCAACCUCUUUUCUAUUUGAUAUUUGGGCUCCAUCUCAUCAAACUUCUACCUAAACCCUUUAAUUUUUGUAAUAAAUCCCCAAUUGUCAUACUCCAAAUUCUUUAAACUUCCUCCUCAAGCGUCUAUUCCAUCAUCCACCAAGCUUCAAAAUAAAAGUCUUUUUUAUUCCUCUAUCUACCUUGUUGUUCUAAUUGAAUUAGGAAAGGGCAAUGGUCAGAGAAUGAAUGUGGUAGAUGACUAAUUGAAGCAUGGAUAAAUUGUAAUAGCCAACUUGUAUUUGCCACUCCCCUAUCAAGUCGCUCCCUUAUAUUGGUUUCCAACGAAUUUCCCCUUUUUCCAUGUAAACCAUGGGCCUGAGAAACCCACAUCAUAAAGGCCACAUUCCGGUAAUAUUUCUCGAAAUUGCUCUAUUCGUUUUCUUCUCUUGGUUGGCCACCCUUUUUCUCAGAUGCGUAUAGAAUUUCAUUGAAGUCUCCACAAACUAACCAUGUAAGAUUAAAAUUCAUACUCAGUCUUCAUGGCACGAGUCAUUUCUUCCGUUUGCAUAUAGAGAACCGUAAAAUCUCGUGAAACGCCAUUCCAAUUGCUGCUCUUCUGAUUUGAUCAUCACGUUUAUAUAGUUUCUUAAGAAGCUUUGUAAUGUAAUAUCCUCCUCUUCUUUCCAUGCUAAACACAAACCUCCCUUAGUCCAAUCCGCUCCCACCUCAAUUCCGUUAAUGAAAUUGUACCUCAUUAUGAUUGAUUCCAUCUUACUCUUAUCAAUUUUUGUCUCUAUAAAGAAAACAAUUUAGGUUUUAUAUAACUUUAGUACAUUCCAAAGUCUACGUACUGCCCGUGGGUUUCUCAAACCACGGACGUUUCAGCAUAAAAUUUUCAUUGCGCCCGAUCAGCAAGCCGACAGGCUGCCGCUGGUCCUAUUUGAGAUGAAAUUUUUUCUUCCUCUAUCUUGUCACCUUUUCCAACCAUGUUUUCUUUAAUUUUUAGUUCCCCCACUAUUUUUUUCCCUUUUACUUUUAGCCGUAUUUGGGUUGUUCAAUUCUGUAUUCUCGAGAUUAUCCCAAUCCUCUUUUAUUUUCUGACAGAUAGGUCCCCUUCACUUUGAUCCAUUGGUGCGCUGUUUCUUAUUCUUCUCCAUCCUUUUUGUGGCCCCUUAAGUCCAUCAAUAAUAUUUUGAGAGAAAACUAUUUGGCCCAUUUUCAUAGCUGGAGAAAAAUUGGCCUACGUUGAAUGCCCAUUAUGUUCUCUUGUAUCCUUAAUAGGACUUUGAGGGUGUGAGAUUUCUAUGUUACGUUUCGCAUUACCCUCACUCCAAGCUUUCUCCUUAUCUUUUUCCUUAAAAUCUUAUCGUAACCAAUUUGAGUUCAAGUUGGUAUCGACCUCUAAUAUUCCCAAACUGCCCUUCAUCGGCGUCCCCUUUCUCCCCUGAACAGUAUUAGAAAUUGAAUUGUCCUCUAUUCCUUCAUUAGAUAUUCCUAAGUAGUAGCGUUAUGGCAUUGAUUUAUUCAUGGUGACUCACAGCUGCAUACUGACUUUCCCUAUCAAAUUUGAUUCGGCUUUCAGGGCUAGCGAGAAAGGUAGAUCCUCUUUCGGUAAUUCCUUAGAUUCAUCUAGAGUGUCAUUGCAAUCCUUUAUCUCAUAUCCCAUACGUCCGCAUCCAAAUCAAAAACUAGGCAAAAUUUCAUAUUUAAAAGGAAUCUAAGAUUUUUCUUGCUUACCUACUAGAAUGAAGAUCCCCCUACGUAAUGGCUUUUGAACAUCUAACUCCUCUUUUAUGUGGCAAAAAUUCCCCCAUUAAUCCUGAGCUAAUGAUUCCUCCAAAAGUGGAUCCAAUUGUAUGUGCAAGGUCUUUUUUGUCACAUUUAGGUGGACAAUUACCUAUUUUAAGCCAAAAAGGAUAUUGAACCAAAUGAAUAUUGCUUAUCUCUAUCGGUUUUUUUAGUUUUUUUUUUAAAUUACCAAAUUUCAUCUAAAAUACCAUGGUCUUCUUGCCAUUAUUAAUUCCAAAUCUACCACAUCUUCAAAUUCAAUCUUGAAUAAGUUUUGGCCAACAAUCUGAGUCUCAAAUUUUUUUUGUUUUCCAAAUACUCUUUAAUUGAGCUCUAAAGCUAUCCAGAUUGUAUGAUUUUGUCAUCCAUACCGUCCCUAAAAGAGUCAACUUUCCAUUGGAGACUACCAGUGAACUUUUGACUGUUAUAUGUACCAAUUAUUCUUCCAGAAGAGAGAUAUCAUCUCUUAACAUAGCUAUCUUCGUCACCACCUACUCACUACCCAACCACAACAAACCUGUUUCUUUGGGAGACUAACGAGAGAGCACUAUUGAGCCGAAAUCUUAUAAUUGAAUAUAAGGUGAGAAAUGAUAUAUUAGAAAAUUAUUGAAUAUUUAUGAGAUAUGAUAUAUAUGCAAUUUCAGCAUUAUUAUGAAUUGUUACAAACCGUGUAUCGAUAAAUAUGAAAGUGAUUAAUAGAUGAUGUUAAUAUUUGUGAUGGCACAUUGACAGUGUGAAUAUAUGUAUUGAUAUUAUAACAUGUGCACGGAAACGAUGAAGUGCCCUUGAAUGAUAAAUAUGUUUAAAAGAAAUGGAUUCAUGAAAUGCUUGGUUGAACCUAGUAAUCACUAGGAUGCAAUUGGAAUGCCAAUAGGGUUAGAAUGCAUGCUUGUACGGGAUUUGCACUUUGAUGCCCUUGUUUGCACUUUGGUGCCCCUGUAUACACUUUAUUGUCUUUAUUCACACACGGUGCCUUCGUUUGCAUAUUUGUGCCCCUGUUUGCACUUCGGUGUCCCUGUUAUGCAUCUAUGAUGCCUUUGGUGUGGUGUAGUUACCCGAGUAUGCGAGCCAAGUUACUAAUUCGUCGGGCUAACUGUGAAUGGAAUUUAUAAAAUUAUUUUAAUGUUAAAGGCUAAUGUAUAGUCAAGAUAUUAGUAAGUAUUAAAUGUUAAAUGUUCAAUGAAUUACUUGAUCCUAUGUGAGUAUCGUUAUAUUGAUGAUUAUUCAGUUAAAGAUAUAUGUUUAUAUACAUAUAUAAAUGAGUUUGGGUUGAAUUAUUAUAGUACAGGAAGCAUAUGAUGAAUCAUUUUCAAUACUAAGCCUAUAAGUGCUUCGUAAAUGUAUAACAGAUAUGAUUAAUUUAUUCAUUUAGAUUUAAUCUUGUUUAGUGAAGGUAAGUGAUUCCAGAAUGACAUGUUUAUAGGAAAGUUUGAGACAAAUGAUGAAUUAUAGAAUGAUUAUUAGUUAAAUGUGAAAGAGUUACGUUUAAGUGCACUAGCUUGUGGUUAUGGUUGAUGUUUAUACUUAUAUCUUGUGAGUUAUGCAAAUAAAACAAGUGAGAUUAGAUAUGGAAAUGAUAAGUUCAUAGAUGUGACCAAAUAUGAUGAAAUAAAAAGGAUUGUCGAGUUAAAGGACUUACUUGUAAGAAAGGAAAUUACUUAUGAUAUAUGUGACUUUACAUAUCUCAUGAAUAGAUAUACUGAUUCAUGAAUUGAUACAUAAUUAAGCUUAUGCUAAGUAAUUGGAAUAGUAAGUAAAUAAAUGAAAUGGUUCAUUGUUUUAAGAAAAGUUUGAUGAUUAUGUAAUUCAGCUUAUAAGACUUUAUUAUGGUAUAAAUAGAAAGUAUUAGGGAUGUUAAUAAACCUAUUCAUUUGUGAGUUGAUAGUUAUAUAGUUUGAUAAAUCUUAAAGCAUUGGUAUAGGUUUAUUUAUGACUUAUAAAGUUCAUAUUUAAAAAUGGAAUGUUAUGUUUAAAAUUUAUACGAAUUUACUAAGCAUUCAUUGCUUAUGUGGUUGUCUUUCUCUUACUUUACAGAUUAUCAGAAGCUCGAUCGGUUUGGAAGCUAGUUAGAGAUCUAUCACACUAUCCAACGAUUAUAAUGGUAGAUUUUGAUGUUCUGAUCAAAGUUAUAAUGGCAUGUAUAGGUGGACUUGUGUUUUAUGUUAGUUGAUGAGUUUGGCAUGUAUAUGUCAUUUUGGUUGAUGUAACCUUGGUACCUUUGAUGCCUAUUUGGUGUAUGUUAUUUUGAUAAGGAGUUGAUGCAUGUUUGAAUAACCAACUUGGUAUGUUUGAAUGUGACUUUGGUAUGUGGUCAUUGUGGUAAGAUUGGUAUUGAAUUAGGUUAGAAAUGUAUAGUUGAUGAAUGGCUAAAUUAUGCAUAUGUUUAAGUACAUUUGAUCGUUGUGAUUGAGGUGCAUUUGGGCAUAUUGGUUGUAUAGAUAAUUGACAUUUUGAUUUAACUACAUUAUGUAUGUUUUAGGUAUUUUUUUUGAAUGUUUGAAAUAGGUACAAAUGGUUUGUAUGUAUGAGCAUGUUUAGAGUGAAUGAAAUGGCUUGAAAAUGGCAUAUUUCUCGUCCACACGGCCUAAGACAUGGGCGUGUGUCUCAGCUGACACACGGUCACGCAAAACAGCUAUGUCUCUUGUAGGUUUUUAUAUGUUGCUUUUCGAGCAUUACACGGGUUGACACACGGGUGUGUGGCUUGGCCGUGUGACCCGAGUUAAGGAGUCACACAGGCACGGGCUCGAGUUGGGACAUGGUCGUGUGUCUCUCCUUUGAAUAACCACACAGCCUAAGACACGGGCGUGUGUCUCAGUCGUGUGAUUCACACGGCCUAGCCACACAUUCGUGUGACCCUUGUAGUAUGUAUAACAACCCAUUUUUCAGUGAAAAUCGGAACAGUGGUUUCAGAACCACAAAUUCGAUCCGAAAAUAAAAUUUAUUUUUAUUUUAUUACAUGGUCCAUAAUAUGUUGGAAAGGUCAUGUGAAAAUCCCGAUAAGAAAAUUUUAUCGAUUAUGUGUCUAAUUAAGGAAAG
rnacentral:lncRNA from 1 species